UACGGGGGGGGCAAGCGUUGUUCGGAAUUACUGGGCGUAAAGGGCUCGUAGGUGGUCAACUAAGUCAGACGUGAAAUCCCCCGGCUUAACCUGGGAACUGCGUCUGAUACUGGACGGCUUGAGUAUGGGAGAGGGAUGUAGAAUUCCAGGUGUAGCGGUGAAAUGCGUAGAUAUCUGGAGGAAUACCGGUGGCGAAGGCGGCAUCCUGGACCAUUACUGACGCUGAGGCGCGAAAGCUAGGGGAGCAAACGGG
rnacentral:rRNA from 1 species